GACGAACGCUGGCGGCGUGCUUAACACAUGCAAGUCGAACGUGAUUUUUGUGGAAAUUCUUUCGGGAAUGGAAAUGAAAUGAAAGUGGCGAACGGGUGGGUAACACGUGAGCAACCUACCUUACACAGGGGGAUAGCCGUUGGAAACGACGAUUAAUACCGCAUGAGACCACAGAAUCGCAUGAUAUAGGGGUCAAAGAUUUAUCGGUGUAAGAAGGGCUCGCGUCUGAUUAGCUAGUUGGAAGGGUAAAGGCCUACCAAGGCGACGAUCAGUAGCCGGUCUGAGAGGAUGAACGGCCACAUUGGAACUGAGACACGGUCCAAACGCCUACGGGAGGAAGCAGUGGGGAAUAUUGCACAAUGGGGGGAACCCUGAUGCAGCGACGCCGCGUGAGCGAAGAAGGUUUUCGAAUCGUAAAGCCCUGUCCUAUGAGAAGAUAAUGACGGUAUCAUAGGAGGAAGCCCCGGCUAAAUACGUG
rnacentral:rRNA from 1 species